GGGGCUUCUGGGAUGCUUCUUUACUUUGCGUAAUGUGUGCGUUUUCAAUUAAAAGUGUACGUUGAUUUUUGUAAUCAGAUUUAAAACGAAACGAAGAAAAGUCUAAAAGCAGAAGAAAAAGAGAAGCAACAACUCGCAGGCCAUCUGCUCACAGGCGUUUUCGGUGGUGAGCACCUGUGAGCCGGUGUCCCUGCCCUUACUUGGGCACACAGACUGGGUGUGGAAGGACACUGGUGCCAGUUGGGCACACAGACUGGGUGUGGAAGGACACUGGUGCCAGUUGGGCACACAGACUGGGUGUGGAAGGACACUGGUGCCAGUUGGGCACACAGACUGGGUGUGGAAGGACACUGGUGCCAGUGUGGCCCCCAGGACAUUGACGACGGGUGCUGUGAGGGUGGCAGGCCACAUGGGGCAGGGCGGUGCCAGCUCUUUCCUCCACGUGCGGCUUUGGGAAGCGGCUGCCUGGUGGACUUGGUGAAUGUGAUUUCUGUUCCUUCCAGGUCCUUCUAUGGCCACGGAAGAGUGGGUGAGGGGAACACCUCUGGCUCCAACAUUACUUGUUGGUUUUUUCUUCACACAAAUGAAAAAUUCAGCAUCUCAUUUAACUUAAAUACCAGUUUUCUAUGAAAGACAAAAUGAAAAAAUAUAUAAAAAGGUCACUUUAUUUUGCCUUUUGUUUGGUAUGCUAUCAAUGCCCUUUAAAAUCCUACUAUUCAAGUACAAAUGCUGAUGUUUACAAAGUAUUUACAAUUUUAGUCUUGUUCCUUUCUAUCUUAAAACACAACAGCUAACUGGUUACAACAGUUAACAAAAUAAUAAUAAUAAAGAACUAAACUCUGGCAGACACUGUGGAAGCCCACGCCUUAUCUUUAGAAAGUCCAUUGUAUGCUCCUCACACACGGCAGACGGCUUCUGUGGCGUGCAAAGCACUACAUGCUCACAAAGAAAUUCUAAAUGGCUUUCAGAACACAGUACUAUGGCUCUAGGGGACGGGUGCGGGUGGGGACUGAAAGGUGAAAUGAUUUAGAGGAAGCCAUGUUGUCACUUUUUCCAUGAGCCACGUAGUACAGAGAACGCGGCACUCCAUAAGGACCAUUUGUCCUGCAGUGUGGGAUGCAUUUUAAUAAAAUGAUUACACUAUUUUGUUUCAAUUAUAUCUUUCCCAGUGCUGAAUCUCUUGCGUGACAUGGUCCCAAGGUUCACUAAUAAAGCGUUUUCUGUGAGGAAGGUAGUUUUGCUUUAGAUGAGAGGCAGCCCUGCUGCCCUGACUACUGGCACGGAGGCUUAGUAGGUGUCUUUAGCCUGAC
rnacentral:lncRNA from 1 species